rnacentral:rRNA from 1 species
CCUACGGGUGGCAGCAGUGGGGAAUAUUGCACAAUGGGGGAAACCCUGAUGCAGCGACGCCGCGUGAGUGAAGAAGUAUUUCGGUAUGUAAAGCUCUAUCAGCAGGGAAGAAAAUGACGGUACCUGAUUAAGAAGCCCCGGCUAACUACGUGACAGCAGCCGCGGUAAUACGUAGGGGGCCAGCGUUAUCCGGAGAUACUGGGUGUAAAGGGAGCGUAGACGGCAGCAAGAGACUGGAGUGAAAUGCCGGGGCUUAACCCCGGGACUGCUUUGGAAAAUGUGCAGCUAGAGUGCAGGAGAGGUAAGUGGAAUUCCUAGUGUAGCGGUUAAAUGUGUAGAUAUUAGGAGGAACACCAGUGGCGAAGGCGGCUUACUGGACUGUAACUGACGUUGAGGCUAGAAAGCGUGGGGAGCAAACAGGAGUAGAUACCCCAGUAGUC